CUUUCUGCCGGGCUCGGCUUUUCACACCUUCCCCGAUGAUGCGUGAGGACGUUUUGGGAGAGAGCGGCUCGGUGGGGUCCCCUCCGACCAGGUCCCCCUCGACCUUGCAGGAACCCGGCCGGGCGGCGAGGGUCUGGGAUUGUGCCGGGUUUCAAGGACACGGGAGAUGAUCAGGACUUUGGGAGCCAACAUCUGCCUGGCUGGUGACGUCAGCAACCCCGUGUAAUCCUCUUGUACUGAAGGCAGAUGCCUUAUUUGUUUGGCUGGAGAGGCAUUAAUCCCUAAUUCUGGAGCAGCAAGCGAGGGGGAGAGACCGGACCGCUUCCUAUCCCCCGAAAGCAGCUAGAGGGGCUCUCCUCUCCUGCACUCCCAGGCUCCGACUGGGUGGAGGAGCCGCCAGCCCUCGGCAGGCGGCCGCACGCAGGAGCUACGGUGCCGAGGGGGGCCGAAGCCGCUUUCCCAGUUUGCCCCUGGAUGCCCCGGCAAGCUACGGGAAAAGUCUUUGGGAAGCUCAGCUCGCCGCAGGAUCCCGACCGUCGCCGCUGCAAGCGCAGCACAUCCCGCUUCGCCUCCUCUCUCUCUCCCGGGCCCUGGCGCCGAGGAAGCAGUCGAGGUCAGCUGCCCGGUUCCUGGGGUCCGGCCGUGCUCGAGCUCGCAGGGUGAUGCAGGGUGCCCGGCCGCUCCGCUCCUCCCCGGCGCGCCGUCGGCACCGAAAAGGAAUGGUCCCGAUCCUGGGCCGUGAAAGAUGGCAAAAAGCGUAAUAACAAUAAUAAUAAUAAAAGCUUAGGCUAAUUUUAUUAUUUUUUAAAAUUA